ensembl:rRNA 5S_rRNA 5S ribosomal RNA
GCUUACGGCCACACCGCCUGGUUCACGCCUGAUCUCGGAAGCUAAGAUAGGUUGGGCCUGGUUAGUACUUGGAUGGGAGACCGCCUGGGGAUACCAGGUGCUGCAAGCU